rnacentral:rRNA from 1 species
AGAGUUUGAUCCUGGCUCAGAUUGAACGCUGGCGGCAGGCUUAACACAUGCAAGUCGAGCGGGCGAGGUUGCUUCGGUAACUGAGCUAGCGGCGGACGGGUGAGUAAUGCUUAGGAAUCUGCCUAUUAGUGGGGGACAACAUUCCGAAAGGAAUGCUAAUACCGCAUACGCCCUACGGGGGAAAGCAGGGGAUCUUCGGACCUUGCGCUAAUAGAUGAGCCUAAGUCAGAUUAGCUAGUUGGUGGGGUAAAGGCCUACCAAGGCGACGAUCUGUAGCGGGUCUGAGAGGAUGAUCCGCCACACUGGGACUGAGACACGGCCCAGACUCCUACGGGAGGCAGCAGUGGGGAAUAUUGGACAAUGGGGGGAACCCUGAUCCAGCCAUGCCGCGUGUGUGAAGAAGGCCUUUUGGUUGUAAAGCACUUUAAGCGAGGAGGAGGCUACUCUAGUUAAUACCUAGGGAUAGUGGACGUUACUCGCAGAAUAAGCACCGGCUAACUCUGUG